AGAAUAGAGAGAGAGGUGAGGGCGAACCGCGGCUCACCGUACCCCGCAGAAUAAAGUGCGGCUUGCCGCACCCCGCACACACCGCCGACCGAAUUCCCACCGUACUGCCUGGGCAGCGCUGUCGCCGUCGUGCGUGGGGAAACCAGCACUGUACCAAGGUUUAUCUACACUCUUCUCAGCCUGGGAAUCAUCAUGUGCUUGCUGACCUGCUUGGGCCACAUCGCCGCUGAAACUGCAAACAGCCCCUGCCUGUCUUGUCACGUGAUCUUUGUAUUCUUGCUUGUGAUAUUGGAAGCUGCAAUCGUCGCCGAUGUAUUUCUGAAUAGCUACUGGGAGGAGGACAAAUCCCACCAGAUAUAUAUUGUUGGUCACUUUGCUUGCUGGAUCAAUAUAUUGCUGGAUAUAUAUUGUUGGUCAUUUUGCUUGCUGGAUCGAUCAAUAUAUUGCUGGAUAUAUAAGCCA